UUUAGAGUUAAUUUUAUUUUAACUAAAUAUUAUCUCAAUGAACAUUUAAAAUAUAUAAAAAAAUAUAACUUAGCUAUAGUUUUGGUCAAAAAAUGUAUUUUCAAUUAUUAAUGCUAGAAUUGCAUGGAAAAUCUGUAACUAUAUACCGAAUAAUUAUGUUCAUCCAGCAAGUAAAACUUUAAAGUAUUAUUUAAAAUGUAAUAAAAUCUCACCGAAAAAGAAUAAAUUUAGUGGUAAUUAAAAUAGUCUAUCCUUAUGAAUAUAUAAGGAGUUUGAUAAUAAGAUCCAAACCACAACCGCUCGAGCAGCGAGAAGAUCUAUCGGCUUCCUCUCUUGUACUAGUUAUCUUUAAGCGCUACAUCCAUGGACGAAUAAAAGUACUUAGACUUCAUACAAUAACAAAAUCAUCGAUAAACUAGGUAGUAGUAGCAACACAAACAACGCGAUGCAUGUAUCACUUAUCCUAGUAUUACCAUGACAUCCAAACUAGCCAGAUGCCAUAGUUAGUCUAAUACGAGUAUUUUAUUUUUCAUGAAGACACCCCCACUAGUAUUUUGGUUGGUUUCAAAGUGCGAAGGACACCUCUUGUGAUAUUAUUUUUCCUUGACCCACCAUCCCUUAUUUUGGAAGGCUAUCUCUGAUAACGAUGAUAGUUUGCUUGAACUAAAAAAUACAAUCUCCAAUCCUAGCGGUUUCUGAAACGACAGAUACCGUUUGUUUCGCCCAUGAUGUUUCCUAUAAAGGAUGCUUUUCUAUACACCCCUUCAUAGAAUUAGAAUCUUCUAAACUGGAGCGAUUAGAAACCGAGACACGACCGCAUGAACCAACCAAAUGACGUAUUACGUAAAGUAUUAAGAAACUUCGCUUCCCGAUAUGAGAAACCGAAUGCAGAACCUAGGCAGAACCAAACAUUUCUUCUCAUUUGUUCCCAU
rnacentral:lncRNA from 1 species